rnacentral:rRNA from 1 species
AACGAACGCUGGCGGCAGGCUUAACACAUGCAAGUCGAGCGCCCCGCAAGGGGAGCGGCAGACGGGUGAGUAACGCGUGGGAAUCUACCCAUCUCUACGGAAUAACUCAGGGAAACUUGUGCUAAUACCGUAUACGCCCUCCUUUGGUGGACAUUGGGGGGGAAAGAUUUAUCGGAGAUGGAUGAGCCCGCGUUGGAUUAGCUAGUUGGUGGGGUAAAGGCCUACCAAGGCGACGAUCCAUAGCUGGUCUGAGAGGAUGAUCAGCCACAUUGGGACUGAGACACGGCCCAAACUCCUACGGGAGGCAGCAGUGGGGAAUAUUGGACAAUGGGCGCAAGCCUGAUCCAGCCAUGCCGCGUGAGUGAUGAAGGCCCUAGGGUUGUAAAGCUCUUUCACCGGUGAAGAUAAUGACGGUAACCGGAGAAGAAGCCCCGGCUAACUUCGUGCCAGCCGCCGCCGUAACAC